rnacentral:rRNA from 1 species
UACGUAGGUGGCAAGCGUUGUCCGGAUUUACCGGGCGUAAAGGGCGUGCAGGCGGUUUGUUAAGUGCAGGGUGAAAGCUCCCGGCUCAACUGGGAGAGGUCCUUGCAUACUGGCAAACUCGAGGGAGGCAGAGGAAAGUGGAAUUCCCGGUGUAGUGGUGAUAUGCGUAGAUAUCGGGAGGAACACCUGUGGCGAAGGCGGCUUUCUGGGCCUUACCUGACGCUGAGACGCGAAAGCGUGGGGAGCGAACCGG